UACGUAGGUGACCAGCGUUGUCCGGAUUUACUGGGCGUAAAGAGCGCGCAGGCGGUCGUUCAAGUCGAGUGUGAAAGCCCCCGGCUCAACUGGGGAGGGUCAUUCGAUACUGAUCGACUUGAAGGCAGGAGAGGGAAGCGGAAUUCCCGGUGUAGUGGUGAAAUGCGUAGAUAUCGGGAGGAACACCGAUGGCGAAGGCAGCCCCCUGGGUCAAGAUUGACGCUCAUGCACGAAAGCGUGGGGAGCAAACAGG
rnacentral:rRNA from 1 species